UCCCGCCUCUUCCCGACCAAACCUUCCCUCCUUUAUUUUGGUCUCUCUUCUUCCCCGCUCAGCAUCUAAAAUCUCCCCCUUUUCUCUCUUUUCCCUCUUUCAUUGUUGUUUCCCGUUUUCCCUGACUAAGGUUUAGUUUUUGUUCUCAAGUUAAACUAGAAGCCAUGGCUACCGGCUCUUUGAGUUCAACUAUUUGAUGGUGAAUUUGUAUAAUGGGGUCAGUGAUGAUAGAUCUAAAGAAUUGAAAUGGAGUAGGAUUGAGUCUUUGGAAAGAAGCAUUUCACCUGUGGCAAAAUCUUUGGUUAAAUUCAACUAUGGCGAAAUUGUUUCAGCUACUAGAAAAUUUUCCGAAGAAAAUGGUGUAGACAAAGUUUUGGGGAGAAGAGCAUCGAGCUUUGUUUUCAGAGGCAGAGUUGGACUGUUGAAGACAACUGUGGCUAUUAAGAGGUUGGAUAAAGAAGAUAAGAAAUCUGCUAAGGCCUUUUGCAGAGAAGUGAUGAUUGCUAGCUCUUUGCAUCACCCUAAUAUUGUCCCUCUUUUAGGGUUUUAUAAUUAAUUCGCCAAAAUUAUUUUAGUGAUUUGGAACGAUUUCGUACUAUUUUAACUAAUUCCAUAAUCUUUGUUUACAUUUUAUGUCAGUUCAUUGACUGACUUAUCAAAUUUUCCAAUAGCACCAUUCCAUAGCUUGACUGACUUAUCAAAUGAUGCACUGGCCACCCAUAGCCCAUCAGGUGAGAAAUAAACAUGAUUUACAAGCUGCAAAUAACCAGCAAAACAUACGAACUUACUCCUAUGCAUGAAGAAAUCAACAAUUUGAAUCGCAAUCAGAGUGAGUGAACGGUACUUUUACAUUCUGUUCCAGUAGGGAAAAUGAUAGUUCUUGAUUUAUUCGCUGAUGUCAAACCGAUAUGGGCAAUUUCCUCUCAGUUUUUUGACAAUCUUUUUCUUUAACAUGUAAUUUGAUGUUUGUAUUAUGGAAUUCACGAUAAUUUUGAAAAUAUCUUUAUCAGGUGUUUACUGCAUAAUUUUGUAGGAAAUAUUGAAAUGAAUGGAACACUGGAUGCAAUUUCUUCAAGUCCAGCGGAUGCUCGCAUCAGUAAAAAUUCAACCAUGGUAGGUGUUGGCAUGUGCAUGGAAGGGAUAGAUCAGAAUUCGGGUGUUUAUGAGUUAAUGUCUGAAAUGGCACAUUGAAAGGAAAAAGUUCAAGUUCUGGAUUUAUAGUAGCAACGGAACUGGAUGAUGUGUUGUUCAUAGAGAUAUCAAGCCCUCCAACAUUCUUCUUUCUUCCAAGAAAACACCCAAGGUACUUGGCACCCGAGUAUUCCCAACAUGGAAAAGUGUAUGAUAAAACUGAUGUUUAUGCUUUUGGGGUUGUCUUGUUGGAGCUGAUAACCGGACGGAAACCAAUCGAGGCAAGACGGCCUCCAGGAGAAGAGAACUUGGUCUUGUGGGCAAAACCUCUCUUGCACAGAGGAGUGGCAGCUGUUGAAGAAUAACUUGACCCUAGACUCAAAUGUACGCUGAAAAAUUCAACUAAAAUAGCCCUUUUGUUGUUUGGUGAAAGGCUAUUUGCUUGAUGUAAAGAUUGCUCAGCCUGAAAGAAUUAACAAUAAAUAAGAAACUCAGCUUGUGGGGUUGUUCUGGCUUAGAUGAUGAUAUUUUUGGUAGUAUAGUUAGGUUU